rnacentral:rRNA from 1 species
AGUGGCGGAGGGUGAGUAACGCGUGAGAAUCUGGCAACAGGUUCGGGACAACAGAGGGAAACCGCUGCUAAUACCGGAUGUGCCUUUUGGUAAAAGAUUAAUUGCCUGUUGAUGAGCUCGCGUCCGAUUAGCUAGUUGGAGUGGUAAAAGAGACAAAGGGGACGAUCGGUAGCUGGUCUGAGAGGAUGACCAGCCACACUGGGACUGAGACACGGCCCAGACUCCUACGGGAGGCACCAGUGGGGAAUUUUCCGCAAUGGGCGAAAGCCUGACGGAGCAAGACCGCGUGAGGGAGGAAGGCUCUUGGGUUUUAAAUCUCUUUUCUUGGGCAAGAAAACUGACGGCCCCCAGUAAUCACAUCGGCUAACUCCGUGCCAGCGCCGCGGUA